AGUGAACGCUGGCGGUAGGCCUAACACAUGCAAGUCGAGCGGCAGCACAGCCAUCGCUCGGGCUUCCGGCUGCGGACGGGUGAAUAAUGCAGCGGAACAUCCCCAUUCAUGUUUGAUAAGGGGAUGACAUAGGGGCUAAUACGCCAUUCGUCCAUACGACGUAAGGGUGAAAUCACGGGACCUCCCGCUCUUGGACGAUCCGAUGUCCGAUUAGCUAGUUGGUGGGGUAAAGGCCUACCAAGGCGACGAUCCGUAGCUGGUCUGAGAGGAUGAUCAGCCACACUGGGACUGAGACACGGUCCAGACUCCUACGGGAGGCAGCAGUGGGGAAUAUUGGACAAUGGGCGCAAGCCUGAUCCAGCCAUACCGCGUGAGUGAAGAAGGCCUUCGGGUUGUAAAGCCCUUUUGGUAGGAAAGAAAAGCAGCAGGUUAAUACCCUGCUGUUCUGACGGUACCCAAAGAAUAAGCACCGGCUAACUUCGUG
rnacentral:rRNA from 1 species